rnacentral:rRNA from 1 species
AUUGAACGCUGGCGGCAGGCCUAACACAUGCAAGUCGAGCGAGCGGCGGACGGGUGAGUAAUGUAUGGGGACUGCCCGAUCGAGGGGGAUAACUACUGGAAACGGUGGCUAAUACCGCAUACUAUCGGAUAACCCAUAUGGGAUUAGCUAGUAGGUGGGGUAAAGGCUCACCUAGGCGACGAUCUCUAGCUGGUCUGAGAGGAUGAUCGGCCACACUGGAACUGAGACACGGUCCAGACUCCUACGGAGGCAGCAGUAGGGAAUAGUGCGCAAUGGACGCAAGCCGGAUGCAGCCAUGCCGCGUGUAGGAAGAAGGCCUUCGGGUUGUAAAGUACUUUCAGCGAGGAGGCGUUACUCACAGAAGAAGCACCGGCUAACUCCGUGCCAGCAGCCGCGGUAAUAC